GCAUUGGUGGUUCAGUGGUAGAAUUCUCGCCUGCCACGCUGGAGACACUGGUCCGAUUCCCGGCCAAGGCA
rnacentral:tRNA from 1 species